rnacentral:lncRNA from 1 species
AGUUUGACAUCACAUUCUUUCAACAACCACAACUCAUUCUGGGUGUAAGAAAAAACAUUCAUCCAUACGAUCAAUGCCUUCUACAUCAUGCACGGUUGCGAUGUCGAACUGCGGUCCAUCCUCUUCAUAUUGUAACUCUUCAUCCUCAUUUUCAUGCCCACCACUCUGAGAUGGUGACUCCUCCUCUCCCUCGACAACUACUACCCUAUCUUCCUCGAAUUCACUAUCUUCGGAAUCCAUAAAUAUAUCAUCAUCAUCUAUAUUUGUUUCAUCCCUCUCAAAAAUGUCAUUGGGAAAAUCAUCAUUGGCAAUGGCCAAGUCAAAAGCAGAUUCUGUUUCACCUAACACGUGUUGCAAAAUUUCUGACUCCUGGGUACCAUUACAAUUCACUACCGCUGCUUCGUCCCUCAAGACAACAUUUGGGCCAGGAAACGAACAAUUUCAACUACAACCUCCAAGCAUGCAACAUUUGCUUCGUGAACUACAUCCUUAUAGUGCUUCCAAUUUGAAUCGGAUGCCAAGUUCAUGAGAACAUAAUGAGCUAUAUCUUUCCCACAAUCAAAAUGGCCUCUCAAUAUCAUCUCAUCCACUCUACAACCAUAUUUCCUCAUUGCACGGUCAACUAAAUCAGUAAAAGUUGGAGGACCAUCAAAGAAUUCAACUGCCUCAUUCAUAUUCUCUAACUCCCCAUUUUCUUUCACAAUACCACCAUCAAAAAAAUAAACUAAACGAUCCAUCUACAAAAUACAAACAUUUCACCAUGUCAUGUACACUACACAUUGCACAUAUUGGACAUAUCAAUUGGACACAUUCCACAUAUUGGACAUAUUGAGAAAGAACUACACAUGUCAUGUACACUACACAAUUGGAUGAAUAUAUACCUAAAUCGAAGCAUUUAACAAGUUCUACACGUUAAUAUCAUGGGCAGAGAGUCUAUUGCGUUUAAACUACGCAUCAUCUAACACAUAACAACAUUGCAUUUCAUACAAAAUUGAAAUCAUCAACCUAAACCUAGUCCAC